CCGCAUAUGUUUCGGGUUUCGAGGCAACGUAACCGUGUUUUAGUUGGUUCGUUGUCGACGAAACCUGCACAAUGUGUGG
rnacentral:pre_miRNA from 1 species